rnacentral:rRNA from 1 species
UACGAAGGGGGCUAGCGUUAUUCGGAAUUAUUGGGCGUAAAGAGCUCGUAGGCGGUCUGUUGCGUCGGCUGUGAAAACCCGGGGCUCAACUCCGGGCCUGCAGCCGAUACGGGCAGACUAGAGUUCGGCAGGGGAGACUGGAAUUCCUGGUGUAGCGGUGAAAUGCGCAGAUAUCAGGAGGAACACCGGUGGCGAAGGCGGGAUCUCUGGGACGUACUGACUCGUGAGGAGCGAAAGCUGGGGAGCGAACAGG